rnacentral:rRNA from 1 species
UUGAAUUGAAGAGUUUGAUCAUGGCUCAGAUUGAACGCUGGCGGCAGGCUUAACACAUGCAAGUCGAACGGUAGCAGGAGAAAGCUUGCUUUCUUGCUGACGAGUGGCGGACGGGUGAGUAAUG